UGGGUUACCAGGAGAAGGAGGAUUCUGAUUCAGCAGUGAUGCAUACGAACCAGCUUUGGCAAUAGCAUUAGGGUCAGCAACAGAUAGUACUUCCACCGCUUCAAGACCAAUUUGUCUCUUAAUCAAAUCCAAGUUCUCUUGAAGGACCUCAAUCUCUCCAAAUGGCAGCCUCAGAUCCAAGGCCUGAGGCCCAAUUGCAAUGGCCUCAUCCUUCUUGAACCUCAAGAAAGGCAUGCAAAGUUUUUGUGUUUGUUUAAAAUUUGUGGCCUGGCCAACAGAACUAUUCUUUAGUGCCUCCAUUAUCUCCCCAUCAGGGGCAAAAGCACAGGUCUUAUGGUCAAAUUUUCUUUGGAGUAUCCUCAAGCAUUCUGCCUUCCAUCCUUCAAAUUCCUCAUUCACAUAUAUCAAACCUGUUAUCUUGUCUUGAGUUAGUGUUGCGACUGGAGGUCCCUUCUUAUUCCCUUUCUUUGAACCUAGGAGUUGUUUUUGAAGCAGCUUCCUCAUCAGAACAAUCGAGUCCUGCAAGUACUUGUUGGCAGCCUUCAAAGUUAGAUCAGGAGAACCA
rnacentral:misc_RNA from 1 species